rnacentral:rRNA from 1 species
CGGACCGGCGCACGGGUGAGUAACGCGUAUGCAACCUACCUAUCAGGAGGGGAUAACCCGGCGAAAGUCGGACUAAUACCGCAUAAAACAGGGGUUCCACAUGGAAAUAUUUGUUAAAGAAUUAUCGCUGAUAGAUGGGCAUGCGUUCCAUUAGAUAGUUGGUGAGGUAACGGCUCACCAAGUCUACGAUGGAUAGGGGUUCUGAGAGGAGGGUCCCCCACACUGGUACUGAGACACGGACCAG